rnacentral:rRNA from 1 species
AUUGAACGCUGGCGGAAUGCUUUACACAUGCAAGUCGAACGGUAGAGGGGGCAACCCCUCGAGAGUGGCGAACGGGUGAGUAAUAUAUCGGAACGUGCCCAGUCGUGGGGGAUAACGUAGCGAAAGUUACGCUAAUACCGCAUACGAUCUACGGAUGAAAGCGGGGGAACGCAAGACCUCGCGCGAUUGGGACGGCCGAUAUCGGAUUAGGUAGUUGGGGGGGUAAAGGCUCACCAAGCCAACGAUCUGUAGCUGGUCUGAGAGGACGACCAGCCACACUGGAACUGAGACACGGUCCAGACUCCUACGGGAGGCAGCAGUGGGGAAUUUUGGACAAUGGACGCAAGUCUGAUCCAGCCAUUCCGCGUGCAGGAUGAAGGCCCUCGGGUUGUAAACUGCUUUUGUACGGAACGAAAAGGUCUCUCCUAAUACGAGGGGCUCAUGACGGUACCGUAAGAAUAAGCACCGGCUAACUACGUGCCAGCCGCCGCAGUAA